AGAUACACUCGUAAAAAAAUUUGUAUUAGUAUUGCGGCAGCCUCUCAUUCGCUUGGUGCAGGUCGGGACCUUCCUCGCCGGAGACAAUGACGUCAGCUAACGGCGAUGGUGACGUAGGCAUACCGGUAAAUACUUUUUUUUGGUGUUGUCUACGACGAAGUUUCGGUCCCGCCUUGCAUCAACUGAAUAAGAGACUGCGGUGAAUUUUUUUUACUGUGGUGAAUAUUGUUUUCGAUUAAACCAGCUUUGUUGUGGAUCGAUCUAAUGAGGAUCUAAGAGGAUUUGGUAAUUUUGAAAGCUAUUAGUGAAAUAGAUAAGUUUGAUUUUAUUGAUAACUGUUUAAUUAUGUAUGAUGUGUGAUCCUGCAAUAUAGAUUUAGUAGAAGCCUUUCGAGAUUUUAUUCCGUUGUUUUUUUUGCUAUUAAGUGAAAUGGAGAAGUAUGAUUUUAUUGAUAACUGUUUAAUUAUGUAUGAUUUAGGUAAUCUGUGAUUAAGAAACCUGCAAGAUAGCUUUAUUAGAAGACUUUCUACAUUUUAUGCCGUUGUUUUUUGCUAUUAGUGAAAUAGAGAAGUUUGAUUUAUUGAUAGCCGUUUAGUUUUGUAUGAUUUAGGUCAUUUGUAAUUGAGAGACCUGGAAGAUAAUUUUAUUAGAAGACUUUCUACAUUUUACUCGGUUUUUAGGUAUAUUUGAUAUAGUAACGAAAAGAUUUGGUUUUUGAUUAAUGCUAGUACAUCCGAAACUUGUUUAAACAUUUGUUACACUGUACUAGAUGAACAAAAGAGGCGUUAAGUGCCGUUGUUUUUUGUGAUAGGAUUUGAAUAGCACCGAAUUCGUUGAAAAGGAAGAGUUUUCUCCAUCUUUAUCCUUCGUUCGAUACUAGUGUAUAUUUUGAUGUUUGUGGAAUUGUUGCACUUCAGUGUUAUAUGAGGACUGACGGUGUAUUGAUAAGACCGAAGCCAAAAAAAAAAUGACAAUGAAAUCAUUUUCCAAUCUUCAGUUACCUGAAUUUUUUUUUCCAAGGAAAGCAUUUCUUAACGAAAGAAGAAAAAUGACUUCCUUAUAGGAGAAAGUUCAUUUCCAUAAAUGACAACACUUUAUUAAACUUAAUUCAUGUGAUAGGUAAACUAUGUAUUCAAUCUUUAAUACUACUUGUCUUUUGAGAGAAAUCUUUACGUAAUACUAAUUAUCACGUCACCUAUACGGCUAUACCUUCCUCCAUCAUUAAUAAAGUUAUUUACUUUAUCCAAAAAGAUGAUCAUGUCACCUAUACAAACUAACACUGAUGUUCCAUAAAAUGCUUUUUCGAGGUAAUUUUUCUAACGGAAAACAUUUGCUUGCAUACCUAGUGCACCCAGACAUCUAGAAGUUCUAUCUCUUGGUUGUAGGCGGAACAAGGUUAUGUUGCUUUAAAGCUGGAAAAGAAAUUGUGAGAGAGAAGGUAGCUAGCUGUAUAUAAUCUGUGACUUCUAUGGAAUACUGUAAGUGGAUGUUUUGCCUAGGCGUAUGUUGAUAUCAAAUCUUAAUAUAAAGUGGUUAUUUUUUAACCUAAUUAUUUGGAAAUUACUGCAGGCUGGGCUUCAUUUUAAGUUCACUCUAAACAAAGGAAACGAAACAGUAUAACUGCUGCAUGUUUUCUUUUUACGUUGUUUCGAUUCCAUCAGCUUAGCACAUUUUGUCCUCUGACCCAGAAAGAUAAUUCUGCCAGAGUAUCUAUAUUUAAGUUUUAAGUUGCCUUGCUAAUUGUGCGUAUUUCAGUUUGAUCUCUGUAAAAAAAAUUGUAUGCGGUAUACGUAUUAAUGGCUAUACUCUUCCUUCUGUAUCUUGUAGCCACUUGCUUUGGCUAUAUGGGAAAAAGAAAUUGACAAUUCACUUGCUGAAACUGUGUUAGUAUGUAACAUUGUCAUUCUUUGGAUAGAAUCCGUGCAAUUUUCAUCAAACUAAAUAGUUCAGUCUGGGCUUUUACGUCGUAGGUUUUUGAAUUACAGUCCA